GUUGGGCUUUUGUUUGUUUUGUUUCAGUAAUAAAUUUGCAGGUACGGCCCUGUUUAAACCUAUUAGUUGUUUGAGUGCUGUUUGUUUACAAAGACAGUGAAAAAGAUUCUGAAUUGUGUUCAAAAUGACAUGCUAAGAGAGUCACGCCAGCCAAGUUGGAAUAAAGGAUUGGGGAAAGCUACUGUGACUACCUAUACAGGACUGACCUUUAUAGGAAAGCUAAGAUAAUCCAAGGAAAAUUGAAUAAGAGGAUGUAUUCUCUGCAUUUUGUGCCACUAUCUAUAAUGCAAUGGAC